AGCAUGGAGGAUUAUUGAAAUGGUUUACUAACAUCGAAAUAUGUUGUGCAAUGCCUGAUUACUUCUUUCUAUUGGAUGUUCAUGGGAACUGGAGUUUGAUGUGAAACCAGAAGUGUCUUCUACCAGACAAAGCCAUUGCUGUCUCGUAGUCAUACUGGUACUGUUAUUCCAAGCACAAAGUUGGAAGUUGAAGGGGAAUAAAAUCAAAAUAGAAUCUGUAUCUCUGAAAAUAUGAACAACAUGUUCACUCAUCAGUCCCACAAGACCAGGGCUCCAGCUUGAAGAAGCUUGGAAGAAGCUUCCAGCUGGAAGCUUGAAGAAUAAAAAUUAAGACAAGUGCCACCAGGAAACAAAAGAAAUACUGAACGCAGAUAUUCACCUGGUCCUUUAAGUCUGGAGGGUGCUGUGUUUGUAUGAAUGAGGAAGACAAGGGACACAGGAAAUAGUGACCUCCCUGCCUCUCCUGGGGUAGGACUGCAGACAGCCAAGAGCCACCUGGGUCCUUCUCUAUCACCGCGCAGCCCCAUCUGCCACACUAAGCCCAGCCCAUCGCCGUCUCCCACGAGUCUCCUGAGUCUUCAUUUAGAACACUGAAGAGGAACUGGCUCUUUUCAGUAGCAGAAUGCUCAGGCAAACACCUCGGUCAUCCUGGACUGUUCUUUUUCUGUUAUGGUCCAGAUCUAAUCCACCAGGAAAUCCCAUAUGCUGUACUUCAAAAAUUAUUUCCAAAAAUUGGCCACAUGUCCCCAUCUCCACAGCUAAUUCCCUACUUACCGCUCCCCUCGCUUUGUCCUGUUGUCUUCAGAAGCAUCCUGAAUGGGCUUCCUGCUUUUGCUCCUGAUUUACCUGGUUUCACCCCACUCCGUUCCCCAGCUGCGUGGUCCUUCCAGAGUAGCCAGAAUGGGACUGCUCUUGAUAGAACAGUCAGAUUCUCCUCGUCUCCAUUGCGAACCGCUAGUGGCUUCCCAUCUCGUGUGGAGGAGGCCAGGACCGUCCACCUACCUCACCCUCCGGUCUCACCCUCUGCCCCCAAAGCCCUGGCUGUUCACUCACACUUCUGCUGGAUCCCUUGCUCCUGGAUCCCCAAGUGGCCUUUAUCAUCAUCACACUUUGCUCCUUCUCACCUUCCUCCUAAAGGUCACUCUGAUUAUCCUGUGUAAAACUGCAACCCCCAACCUCCCGGUUCUCACGAUUGCCUGAACCCACCCUGCUUUUCCUAGAGCGCUCACCACUUUUAAACUUACUAACAUAUUUAUCGUACUGACUCAUUACUGUUUAAAUUUAUUUUCCGAUUUCUUUAUGAAUCUGUAUGAUUUGUGAGGGCUGCAAUCUGCCUGCCUUAUUUAUGUUGCAGACCAAGAAUUGAAGAUGUUGUCUGUUACACAGGAAGUGCUCAAGAAAUAUUUGUUGAAUGAAUGAAUGAAUGAACAAGUUAGUAAGAAGUCCGCUAAAAGCCAUCCUAAAUAGGCUCAAGACUGAGCCACGCCAGAAUUCUAUCAUAUGGUUCCCUGACCGGGAACAGCAGAAGAGAGACUGCCAGUGAGUCCCCUGCCAUUCGCAGACUGGACUGCGUACUGGAUUAAUUCCUCACUUCUCAACACUUGGGAGCUGAUAAACUUGUCACUGCUGGUUUGCAAACAACACCGGUCUAAUUCAUUUACUACAGAAAUAGCAGUGACACUUGGAGUUCUGAGACAGGUAAACCGGCACAAGGUGGAGCUGCCUGGGCCCCCCGUGGACCAUGCCUCAAAUGCAGCUGAAGACAUUGGGCAAGAGAGUGCCCCAUCCUGGCGUUCCUUUGGGACCUUACACCAGGGCUACUGGACUGUCCUAGCCACCAGAGAGUGGGUAAGCCGUCCUAACUUCUAGCCCUCACAGGAAAUGCCAACACUGCCAGAUUCAUCGCUGACAGAUCUGCUUAAACUUGUUGCUGAAGACUGAUUGGGCUCAGGGCCAACAAUAGCCCCCGUUAAGGUGUCUGUCUCAGAGUUCAAGUCCCACUAAAAGUCUCAGUCUAACAUAUGUGCAUUCACCAGUGAUAAAGUUGUCCUGGCUAAAACACCUGGCACCAGCUUCUGCAUGGGCAUCAACCAUCAUCCCGUCGACUCUCCUAAACCCCAGUACAGCGCCCCCUUCCAGCAGGAAGCAGAAAAGAAAGAAAUCUCCGCCCUUUUUCCUAAUAAUCAAAAGAUGGGACUGAAAGGAUUUUGGCCCAGAUGGGACACUGUAGCCAGUAAAGCCUUGGAGGCAGAACCAAGGAGCUCUAUCUUCCCCACCUCCAGGAAUUUGCCUGUGACUCCAUAUUCCCUGCCCCUAUGAAUUUACCUAUGGCACAAAAUGAAUAGCAGUGGGCUACCUGAGCAUCACUAAUGCCCCUCAGGCACCACCCCAAACCUAAGGUGCAUGUAUAUCUCCAUUUCACGUGUCGGAUGGAGAGAUUGCCAGACACCUGAGAGAAUGCCAGACCCCAGUGGGUCGGGGGUCUCUCCCCACAUUCUUAAAUAAAGGUCAUUUAUAUUUCAUACUUAUCUUUUCAGCUGUGUCAGAAUUCUAUCAGUAGGCAAGUAACAUGUCUGUUGGUUAGUCCCCCAGGUAAGAGAAUUGUGAAGCCUGUGGCUAACUAAAAUGUGCACUUCAUACAAUUCAAAUUUUAUAAAUAACACGGAGCCUUACAAACCUGUAUGAGUUUAAAUUUGACUUUGGCCUAUAAAUCUUAGCUCCCUGAGAUAUGCAGAACAUGUUACUCUCCAGCCAUAAUUCAAUGAGUCUAAACAGGGCAACAGGUUUACUUUUCAUGCCGAGAGUAGAAACCUACUAACGUAGUGUGGUUGGAGGAGCUUCUCUGCCAGAUAUAGUACCUUCCUUUUUGGAAUCAAGGAGGUUAUAACCUAAUCAGGAAGGGUUUGGAAGGCGUAGGUUUAGUUAGUGAGUUUUAAGGGUUUUUAGUUUUUCAUGAAGAUGCACAUAUACUAUCCACAAUAGAAAACCUAUUGAUUCUCCUUUAGGUAUUAAUACCAAAGCUCUUUAAAACAAUUUUCAAAAACUUCUGUAAAGUGUAAUUAUAUGCCCCUUAGUUUUAAUGUUGAUAUUUGACCUCUGUAUAUUAGGCACCUUUUGAGACAAUGAAUUAAAUAGUGAAGAUAAAUUUGUCAUAGGCCUUAUUUCCAAGGCACUUACAAUGUAGAGGGCAAAUGGAAGGACCAAAGUUAUGCUUUCUUGUUCUGCAACUGCACCCAAGUGCCCAGACAUAGUGGAAAGUUAAUACACGGAUGGAGACUGAUAUUGCCCCAACAAUCUGCAAUGCACAAGUGCUGGAAGUGAGGCAUAGUAGGCACUGUGAGUUAGCAGAUGAGCUCUAGAAAAGAGAAGAGACAGGAGAGAUGGACAGAAGAAGGGACAGGAGGGACUGGGGUGUGAUGGACAAAGAAGGGGUCGUGCUUGACUCCUCCUCUAAGCCAAGCAGGUGCUUGAAGCUUGGCUGGUGGAGUCCUGGGACAGGGGAGCUCUGAAAGGGGUGGAACUGGGGGAACCAGAUGGAGCAAAAGAGGUAGCAGGAUAUCUCUGAGUGUCCUGUGUGCUGGUGGUAUGUCAGCUGGGUGAGAAGCUCAGCCUGGUGGCUUUCUGGCUGGCUUUCAGCAGGCUCCUGGCUUGGGAGAUUUCCCACAGGAUGUUCCAAGCAAAAUGGGGCUCUGUGAUGCCUGCAGCCAGCCUCAUGGGAACCUUCCUCAGGUGUGAGUCCCAGGCAUUUUUGUAAGCCCAGCAAUCUCCUCCUUUCCUGACACCUGCCGAAGUGAGUUAUCUCUUAAUCCUCUUCCAAAUUUAAAUGAUAAUUUUAGCAACUGCAGGGUUUUCUGUUGGCAAUUUGCUGCUGAUAACCGAACUGUUAAUUGCAGCUCUUAUCAGUGCCCGUUAGAACAAGCUGGUUUGAAGUGCAAACAAUGCUUUCAAGUGUGGCUUAAAUUCUUGCUCAGACUUGCCUUAUUUCCGGAUCAGAAUGUCCUGCUAUUGCCUGAAGGUUAGGAACUGAACGUGACUCAUGCUUGUGGGCAGCAUUAUUGUUUUUUCCAGGUCUUCACAGCCUCACUGCCCACCGGGCUACUACUCAAUACAAAAGGCCAGAGAGUUCACACCUUCCAAACGUGCCUAAUGUUUUUAUGCUUGAAACUACUGACACUUCUGCCUCUUUAGUAUCUGACUUUAUUUGCUCAUCUGAAAAUUGGGGAUGACCAUAUCUGACUUAUGAUUGCUGAGAGGAAAUGAGCUGUGGUUGAAAGAAUAUGAGUUCCAUAUUGUUUUGAUCAAUUCUAUUAUACCUGAUGAUAUAGACAACUCAAUUUGAAAAUAGCAAGAGGCACAAUGGUAACCACUUUUGAUCACCUGCUAUUCUAUUUUUGCAUCACGUGCUAUGCCCACCCUUCUGUUCUGACUCUGUGUUGCUUAGUCACAUUUGUUUUUUUUCUCUUCAAAAAAGUAAUAAGAACCAUGAGAGUAAUAAAACCCCAAAAGUCUAAUUGUUACUGUAAAAAAGAGAGGAAAGUAAGAUGGACUAAGGAAUAUGACCGCAGGUAUGUUCGAGAGUGUAGGACGGAAAACCAUAUAACUGAGCUUUUGUUGGAUCAUUGAACGGAACUGUCUCCAAUUCCACUGUAUGAAUGUUUACUUUAUAUGCUUUAAUUUAGUGAUAUGGACAACUGUUUCUGGGAAGAUAAUGUGUAGCCUGUUAACUGGUGAUUUCGUACUGUAUAUAUUUUUUUCUAGAAAUACUGUAUUAUUUGUACCCUUUUACUGUAUUUUUUUUUAUGUCCUUUCUUUUUUUUUUUCUUCUCUCUUUAAAUAAAAAAAAGUGAGGGAAAGAAAGUGCUCUAAAGGAUACAAUUGCAAGUGUGUUUAGGUGUGUUAAAUAGAUGACCAUAUUAAUGUUUUUGAUUGGAUCACUGAACACAACUGUUUGCAGUCUCUCUGUUUGAAUGUCCACUUUGUAUGCUUUAAUCCUGUGACUUGAACAACUAUCUCUAAGAUGAUAAUGUGUAACCUAUUAAAUGGGAUUUCUUACUGUUUUUUUUUGUAGUUCUGUAUUACUUGUACCCUUAUACUGUUUUGCUUUGUUUUGUUUUAUUUCUCUUUUUCCUUUUAAAUAAAAUUUUAAAAAAAGAAAGAAUAUGAGUUUUGGGAUCAGAUGACAAUUUUUUUUUUCCUUUUGCAUUUACUACGUCA